AGUUCCAGGAAUAAAAUUUAGAUAUUAUCUUCAGAUCUUUUAUCUCUUAUGUCAAUCAAAUCAAUAUCUCGAUUUGAUGGUCAGAACUUUGCUUCUGCUCGGGUAGUGAGAUAGUGU